rnacentral:tRNA from 1 species
GUGGGCAUAGCUCAGUUGGUUAGAGCAGCAGACUGUGGCUCUGCGGGUCGCGGGUUCGAAUCCCGUUGCUCACCCCA